rnacentral:rRNA from 1 species
UACAGAGACUGCAAGCGUUAUUCGGAUUCACUGGGCGUAAAGGGUGCGCAGGCGGCCGUGUGUGUGAGGCGUGAAAGCCCGAUGCUUAACAUCGGAAUUGCACCUCAAACUACACGGCUAGAGCAUUGGAGAGGGUAGCGGAAUUCACGGUGUAGCAGUGAAAUGCGUAGAUAUCAAGAGGAACACCAGUGGCGAAGGCGAGUCCCUGGACAACACCUGACACUGAGGCACGAAAGCUAGGGGAGCAAACAGG